GGAGAGGCUACACAGGGAAAGGGAGGCGCGGAGGCAGGCCAGGGAGGAGGCGCAGAGGAGGGAGCAGGAGGGGGAGAGGCGGAGGAGGCAGGAGGCGCGCAGACAGGAGGAAAUGGUGCAGCAGGAGAUGGUGCGACUGCGCCGCGAGAUGGAGGAGAGGAGGAACCUGGAGCAGCUAACCUGUGUCUACAGAGGCACUUCUCUGGCUGGUACUGUGUGCUGUUGGAGAGGAGGGUGCGGAUGGGCAAGGUGGCGGCGCUCUGUGAUUGGAAGAGGGAGCUGAGGGCGUGGCGAGCCUGGCGGGCGCUGGUAUGGGCAGGGAGAGAGUAGAGGGAGGUGGAGAGAACAGAGGAGGAGCUACAAAUCCAGAACAGACGCUGCCAGGUGGCGAUGGAGAGUGACCGGAGGCGUAUGCUAAGGCGAUGCCUGAGUGAUUGACGGUUGUGGUGUCGGGCGGAGAGAGGACGCCGGGAGCUGUUUGCACAGCAGGAAGAAACACGGUACAAGAUUGCCUCACUGAUCAAUGCUGUGGCAACUGGGAAACUUAAGGCUCCUGAGACACCUGCUCCUGAGCAAAUUACAGCCCUUCCUGAGACUUUUGACCAAUCACAGACCACAGAACUGGUGAGUGACAAUUGUAGACCCCUCCCACUGAAGAAAGUGAACACAAACAAAGCACAGGCAUAGAUGCAUAGGAGGACACACAAAACAUGACAGAUAAAUACUUGCACACACAGUGUUGUCUGCCCAUUGGAUAUACAUUUGCUGGAGCGUGUCACAUUAGAGACUGAAGUCCCGAAGGUGGUAACGAUGUGUAAUUAUGAAAUAAUUAGCUAAUUCUCCAAAGGGUCGAAUGAAUCUGCGAGGCAAUAAAUGUGCUUUUUGUAUUCAUUUGGUUAAGUCAUAUAUUAGUCUAUCACUAUUUCCUGAAUAAACAAGUUCUGUUUCAGAGUUCCUCUCCUCGUAUGAGUUGGCCAGCACUUUUCUCACUGUGAGUUUAUCGUCCGGGGAGAGAAACGUUCCCUGCAUGACGAGAUAUUCACAACACUGCAAGGUUCGCUUUCUCCUCAGAGAGAGAGAGAGGAAGGGGCUAACAGAAAGAAAGAGAGUUGAAUAGAGCUUAAGGAAGAGAGGAAAAUAGAAUUAGGAUGAUCAGCUUCAUCCUAUUUUCAUGUGACCCUC